AUCCAGUAGGGUAUUGCAUGUAAGAUGUUAUGGUUUUCUUUAACCAGACAGAAAGUUUAUGAUUAUGCAAUAUACUGUAUAAAAAUUUGUAAGUUACUGCUGCCAUGAACUCCGCCAAUAUUGUGCCCUACAUACAACAAUAAACUAACAUAAUACAUGUUACGACUUUUCACUGGCACCAAAUCUCAGGAUGAACUAUUUUUUUCUUGUCUGGUUUCUUUUUGUGUGUGAAGAUUGUUAUAAUCCAUAUUGAAGUACUUCAUCUUGUUGAAGCUAGAAUAAGAUGCAUUCCAAGUUAUCUAAUAAAUAUUUGAAUUUUACAU
rnacentral:lncRNA from 1 species